UAACCGUAGCCGGAAGGUUACGCUGAACUGACAGGAGUCAGCAGAGGUCAUAGUACGGGAGUAAGGGACGCCAGAAACCGGAAGGAC
rnacentral:ncRNA from 1 species